AUGGGAGGAAACAGUGACGACAAGGCAGUUGUUAUGCAGAUAAUGAUGUUUUUGACUGGAAUCAACACCCUUCUACAGAGUUUCUUUGGUACACGAUUGCCUGCGGUGAUUGGUGGAUCAUACACCUUUGUUCUACCUACCAUUUCGAUCAUACUUGCGGGACACUACACCAACGAACCAGAUCUACACACUAUAUGUUGA
rnacentral:rRNA from 1 species